rnacentral:rRNA from 1 species
UACAGAGGGUGCAAGCGUUGUUCGGAAUUACUGGGCGUAAAGCGUGCGUAGGCGGUUCGUUAAGUUCGUUGUGAAAGCCCCGGGCUCAACCUGGGAACUGCAAUGGAAACUGGCGGGCUUGAGUGUGGCAGAGGGGGGUAGAAUUCCGCGUGUAGCAGUGAAAUGCGUAGAGAUGCGGAGGAACACCGAUGGCGAAGGCAGCCCCCUGGGCCAACACUGACGCUCAGGCACGAAAGCGUGGGGAGCAAACAGG